AAACAACCCUCGAGGGGAGGGAGGAGCCCAGAGGACUGAAAUCCUGUGUGGUUUUCCCAGCGUCUUUACUGAGAUGAUUGUCUUCCUUCCUUCUGAGUCUAGUCCAGGCACAGUUAGUGAAAUGAAGGAUCUGUGUGAGGAAAUUGGGAUUUACAGAGAUGGUGCACCUUGCCUGCGGGGAAGAAGCAGUAGAACUGGAAUUUGAAUCCAAGUCUCUCUGAGCCUGUUACUGAGCCUCUCUCUGCCAUGAGGCCAUUCACUCGAUCACUUGGAAGCAGAUUACACACAUGAUCGGCUCUUCGCAUUAACCAAAAGUAAGUGUGGAGGCUGUCUGGAGAAGGGGCCUCACCAAGAAGGGAGGAAGUGGAUCUCCCAUAAGUAAGUACUUUAAUUCUGGGGGCACAUGUGAAGGGCUUGGCUAAUGGGAGGGUGGAGCUGUCUAUGGCUCUUACUCUUCCAGUUGAUUUCUAGCCCCCGUGAAGGUGCACAUCUAAGAGGGAACUAUCUCAAGGCUGAAAGCAGGCACUACGAAAUGCCUUCUUUCCUUUAGGUAUAGCCUACCACUUUGAAAAUACAGAAGCUCCUGUGGUGAUAAAGGGGGUCAGUUUACUAAAUGGGCAUCUCUUUGUUGUGGCUUUGAGACCUAAGCCUGGUUUCUGGGAAACUCGGCAAUGUGGAACUGAAAGAGAUUUGGUGCCCCACACGCUCAGCCGCCACUGAGCUGUCAAACACAAGCAAAGCACAUUGCCUAUUUAAAGGGGAAGAGAGAAAUGUAAGAUUAAACUCAGGUUCGGCAGUUAUCUCUGGAUUCCUGGUGUCCGUUCUGCUCCUGAUCCACUCUUCAGUGGGUUUUUGAGAGCUGGUUUGCCGACCCAAACAGAUAGGCCAACACGUGAUUUAUGGAAAUCCACUGAGUCAUGCCGUGUCUCAUAGUGCCUUUGCUCUGCUCUGAGGAAGCUCAAAUUUAUCUUUUUGGCAGGAAGUACCCAAAGAGGUCUGUCUACACAGCAGAUUCCCGCAGGAAGAAAUGGCCAUGCUGUGGAAGUGAGUUAUUAUCAUUCCUGUGCUUCUCUGGUGAACCCAGAUGGACCUGUGGAUGCAUUGGGUAGCCAAGGUUCUCACGUACUUUCUUAAUUACUGUAAUCAGCUCCUUGAAGUCAGCUCAUGGAAGCGCCUCACAGGAAAGAAUGGGCAAUGUUGCUAUUGCCGACUUCUCGGGAUGGGCAGACACCCAGGGCGAGGAGUGGUCAGUGCCUGCGUUUCACUCCCCUUUCCUCCUGGAGCAGCCCCACCAUCGCCUCAGACAACUCACAUCACUGAAGCGGAAAAUGUUAUCUCUUCACUCCAUUGAUUGUUUUCUGUGUUGAGCAGGAACUGGUGAGAUUCAUGGUCAAGGAUAUGAACAGUUGGAGGACUUCGGAGACACAAAGUCCAGUUGUUGUGCAGUGACAUGGUCCUGGCAUACCCGGUGUGGGGAGCUUCCUUACAGCAUCAGGAACUCUAAUUCCUAAAACAUCACUCUUUCGAUGGAUGAAACGUGGUGUGGCCGGCUGAGGCGAGGGGCCUCGGUGGCAUCCGUUCUCCGAGACGACCUGAGAUGAAUGUCCUUCCUUCCACCCACUAGCGGCUGGAUUGUCAGAGGCCUGGCAGCUCCACUCUCCUGGCUCCCUCCACCGCCGGGAGGCCGGGGAUGCCGGCAGGCAGGUGAGUGGCUCUCAGGCUGUUCUUUGUCGUCUGCAGGUGAUGGAAGUGACGCCAGGCCUGGCCAGCGCCGUGAGGGCUGCUCUGGAGAGAGAGGCCAAGCACCCCGGAGCGCUGGGCUCCUGGUGGGUGGCAUGGUUCCUGCCAUGGCUCCCUGUCCUUCUCUCUGCUCAGCCUUUUUUCCAGAAAGUGGGGCCAUGGGGGGCUCUCUCUGUGAAUGCGAAUAGAGCAGACGCUCUGAACCAGCAGAGACGACUCAGCAUUUCUGAGGGUUUGUUUGUACGUUUAACUCUGAGUCAACAUUAUUCUAACACCGUUUAGUUCACUUAACAUUUACCGUGGAUAGUAGGUGGUACAGGGGCGUGGAGCCGGGAGGGGCCUUCGUGCCAGCAGGAUCCCCUCCUGCAGCUCUAGGAAAGCCACGAGGAGAUUUUUUUUUCCCCUCCUGGCAACUUUUUUUCUUUUUUUUACAGUUGAGAAAUUUAAGCAGAUUUAAAUGUUUUCUAUUAAAAAAAAAGGAAAGAAUAAGAAGGCCACAGUGGAAUCUCCAAAGGAGACACUGGUUGCAUUUCUCUAUAUGUGAAAGUCAGAACGAGGCUAAGAAAAGGAUGUCUUCCCCCACCCCCCCAUCCCCAGCCCCCCUUGCUAUAAGCCACCAAGGCUCGGGGCCCACAGAUGGGGAAAAAAACAGAUACAUUAGAGAAAAGUUCCUUAAAGUGACCUGUGACUAACACUGUUUCCUGCUGGUAAGCGUAAAGAGACAGAGCCCGCUUGAGCCAGCCUUGGUUCUUCCAGAAGAGUCAGAAGGUUUCACAUGCAUUUUUUAACAUUGGAAAAACCAGUCAGGAGAAAAAAAAACAUAAGUUCUCCCCCCUCUUCUUUUAAUAUCGUUUUCAGUAGCACAAUGCAUUUAAAGUAAGGCAUAGUUUCCUCAGAGUAAUAUGGCCUCAGGACAUGAUUUAGAUGGAAAAUUUAAGUAAGAUUAAUGCAAUUUAUUAUCCAACAGGAUAUCCCUACAAGCCACACUAUUUGGCUGAAUUUUAGAUUCCCAAUCUAAUAUUUCAGAUGAGAUUUCCAGAUGGGUGUCUUAUUCCUCUAUUAGUUUAGUCAGGGUGAUAUAGAGUUUGUAAAACAGGAGAGGUUAAACGAGUUUUAACACUUGAUUAAUCAUUGAAAUUACUUUGUUACUGUUUGAAUUCAUUGACUUUUGUUUAUUAAGUAACUCCCUAAAACCCAAAGCCAACACAAACGAGAGGCACAUUUCCAGCUUUGCUAAUUUAUUUGAUGACUUCUUCAAAGGAAAAAAAAAAAUUUAAAGUAGUAACUUGAUGGUUACGUUGAAGGGCUGCUCAAUGCUUGCUCCUUGCCUUGAGAGAAAGUGUGGGCUUGUAAGGCUGAGGGCAACACACACACACACACACACACCCUGAACCCAUACCCAUAUUCUAAUUUCCUGGAACAUUUCUGGACAGAUAAAUCUUUGAAAAGAAAUUAGAUGAAUAAUUAUCAGAGCUUUUGCUAUGUCCAUCAAGAAACAGAUGGAUAGCACAGCAACUGUCCAAGGUGACAAACCACAUAUAUAUUCUAGCAUUUUAUAAACCGCUGGCAAGUCUAUUAAGGGAGGUGAAUUCCAGCACCCAGUGAGGCUCCCUGAAUGGAGGGGUGCACUUUGGGGAAAGCACCAUCGACAACUAAGCAUGUUCGUGCUCCCGGCAGGACUCCGCUCUUAGCGGCGGAGUGAAGGGGAGGGGCUAAUUCAGAAAGUGGACAAAGCUCCAAACCAGAACUCCUUUUCGGGAUAUGAAAAUUUCCUGAAGUCUGCGUUUGGUAAAUUGAUUACAAUCUCUUUUCAGAGACCUAUCAGGAGCAAACUAGAGAGUUGCAGACAUAAAUUUGAAUUCCAGAGCCUCCGACUAACCCAACUCAUAAAUGAAUUCCUAAAUGCUGACUGAGCCAGAAGACCCAGCUUUGGAAAACCACUUGGCAGGAAUCAUUAGUUUCAAAAUGAGAUGAACUGCUCUAUUUAGCCCUCAUUCAAAACUUUACAGAAAUGCCAGAUUUCCAUAAACACAGGUUUCCUUGAAUUUCCAGGGCUUUGAUUAACUGGUAGAUGAGGGUGUCUCACAAAUACAGAUUUGUAUGUAAUAUUCAGCUUGGACGAGACUGGGACUUGGAAACCAACACAAAGUGUUCCCUCUCCUCCCUAAGAUGUUAACUCUUCCCUUGUUUUUCAGAAAGUGCUUUUUGUUACAUGAAGUUUGGAGAAUUAAAAAUUAGUCUAUGGUUUAAAAACAUGGCUAUAGAUCAUAUUCUUGUCAUUUAUGUCAUCGUUUCUUAAGCUUUUCAUGACUGAUUGACAGCCCACUGAUUUAUAGUGUGUCUUUAAUGCCCCAAAGGAAUGAGAGAAUUAAAAAAUACACUUCUGUCUCUGCUGAAAAAGUCAUAAAGUUGUGGCUUUCUACUAAGUAAAGAGAUCGCUUGCAAAGAGAUUUUUUUUUUGUUUUAAUAUGUUUUCAUUUUUCCUUUUAUGGCCGUUUUUCUGCAUUGAUACUGGCACAUUAGGCAAGGGACCCAAAUUGGUGCAACAUAGAUCCACAGAGUUAAACUUUUUGAUGGUGGCCUGCCGCCACCUCCGCCUUUUUUUUUUUUUUUUUUUUGGCUUCCAUAGUCAAGUCAAUAAAAACAAAAUAAAUUUGGAGGGUAAAUAGCCAAUUUUCUGUAUUCUGAAAAGCUGUUUCCUUCCAAGGGAGUGAGUUUGAAGCCCAGAAUGGAUUUGAGUUAAGACAUGGAUUCCAUUGCCUCUGUGGGCUUGUCCCAUAUUUCCUUCAAUGCCUGUGGAUUGUCCGUAGGAUUUUAGACAUCAGAGAUGAUGCAAAAAGAAGCACUAGUUAAGCUAGUUAGGCUACCACAACCAGGUAGGAUUUUUUGUCUCCAAAGAGCAGGGUUAUAAAGGCUAGAUUUAGGCUUACCGUAUAAUAGGGUAAAAACACCACAGUUGCCAACAGUGUUGGCUUCACUUUUAACCUAUUUCUGGGUAGUAGAAAUUCAGAUGCUUGUCCCAAUGGAUUGAUUCUUACCGGUGGUUCUCCAGAAGUUCAGCUGCUAGUUAUAAAGGAGGGAACUAGAAGUCAUCCUUCGGCAGGGUCUCCUCUCAGUGAGGUUGUGUUCUGGGCUGUAGGGGAGCACGAGCGUCCCCAAAGUCAGAAUGACAUGGAUCCAGCCUGGGAUUGACAGAACCGCAGUCUCUGUAGUGGUUUUUCCAAGCAGGACAGUUUCAAGACUUUCAUCAGAGAUUUGUCAUGAUAAUUCCACUCGCUCACGGUCUGACUGAGGCUUUGCCUGCAGUACCUGGUAAGCAGACAAGAUAUAGCACAUCCUAUAGAUGGAUACCUGUUAUCUUCCGAGUCCUGCCCCCAUCCUCCUCUUCCUCACCAUACCAUCAUCACCAACACCACGACCACCACCAUCAUUAUGACCAUGAUUUCCUGCCCUUAGGGACCCACUUAGGUUACUGAAGGCAAAACACAAUUUGGCUGAUUUCACUAGUUUCUUCUUCUUUUCCUUCUCCUUUUUUUUUCUUUCCCUUUUCCUUCUUUUUCAAGAACCCAAACCAAGAAUAUAAGAGUUCAAGAACAGUCCCUACUGAAGCCCACACAAACAUCUGCGUGCCGGGGUUCGGCCGUGGUGGGAGCCAAGCUAAUUGGCAAGUAGCCUGGAUCUGCUACCUCGGGGGACUUCCGGGCUUGGUCCUUGAGCCUCCUGCUCAGUAGUGCAUGGGUUCCGAGACAUUCCCUUCCUUCAUCUGACAGGAUGAGAUGCCUUAGAACUGAGGGUUUUGUGAAAGAACAGAAAAAGUACGAGGACACUGGGUGGAGAGGGGAAGAAGAUAGAGAAUGAUAAGAAGACAGUGGAAUUCAGUCAAUGGUAAGUCUGCAUUUCCAUCUCUCACUAGGGCAAGAUUCAUGUAAUCACAGGAACGAGAGGCUCUGCCGCAGAGAUCUUGGGUCCUGUGUAGCGUGCUCCUGCAAAGGGGUGAAUUGCUACAUGGACGCACUUUUUUUGUGACUUGAUUGUUUUUCUUUGUAGUCUAGGAUGCCUAUACCAUUCGACCCCUUCCUUUCUGUUAGAGUGCUUUGUCAGCUGCUGCCUUCCAGCUACUCAAGGAUGGCCAUCUGCCGCCAUCCCUGCUCUAGGGACUGGCUUACGAAGGUAUCACGUUCCUGCCCUGCAGGGAAUGCUUAGUGGUUCUCCUCUACCUUCAUUCAUUCAUUGAAAAUUCUUUUGUUGUUUCUGCUACAAGGUUUCUGUGUUCUAGGCACUGUACUAGGCACCAGGAAUCCAUGGAAUUUCAAUCUGCAGAGGAGACUGACAUUCAUCAAGUCAUCCUAAAGACAUAUAUAUUGCAAAUGAGGCAAAUUCUAUGAAGACAAGGAACGCGCACCAUCACCGCUGCUACCAGCCUUCCCGGCUAUCAUUUCCAACCUGAUCAAUGUGGAACAUUCAGUUGAGUUUGUUUUGGGGGCAUUUCCACUUUAAACGAGAACGGCCUCUUUAAGAAGUGACAACUUUCUCCACUACAGAGCCAACCAGGUUCCAUGUUCUUUGUUUCCAUUCUUGGACUUUCAGAUUUGACUUAUUUUAUCGUAUAUGUCACGACAGCUUCAGUUCUUCUCAAGUUUGGAUUCUCCAGCCCAGAGCACACCUCAUGCAGCCUUCAGGAACAUUUCUUCCACUUGAAUGCAUUGCCUUCAACCCCUUUGUCCCUGGAGGCAAUUCUGAAAAUAGCGCCCUACCUGGUCCAUCUCCAGUGACGUCUGGACACCCGUCUCUAGCUAUAAUGGCCCUCAAAUCACUAUGUUAUGAAAAGCAGCUGUUUUGUCAACUAUUCUUAAUGAGUUUAUUUGUUGUUGUUCUGGUUUUAAAAACAGCACAUGCAGGGUUUAGAAAAUUAAAAAUAUGGAGGUAAGAAACAUAAAUAUGAACGAAAUCCAUACAUGGAGAAAUGACCAGUAUAAAUAUUUUUGUGUGUUUUCCUCAAAUGUAUAGUUAUAUAUUAUAUAUUCAUAUACAUAGACAUAAUACCUAUUUUUAUCCUGUAUUUUUCCUUUAACAUGUGUCAUAAGCAUUUCCCAUGUUAGUAAAAUUGUUGGUAAAUAUUAUUUUUAAUGGUUACUAAUAUUAUUCCAGUUUACCUAAUAUGUCUGGUUUCAUUUGUCAUUUUGGGUACAAUAAAUGUUUUUGUGUUAAAA